UUGAGUCCUCCUCUUUUCGGACAAUGCAUACAAAGAGACCCGCCAAUAGUCAAAUAAUUAGUGAACCUUAGAGAUAGAGAGAUAUUUCUAUAAUUAGUUCGUUUCUCUUCUAUUUUUCUAUCUCCCUUCUAUCUAUUUUCUUUAGUUAUUUACUAGAGCAAUUAUAAUCUAGAAGUCGAUCCGGGGCAAGUGUUUAGAUCUAUUAUGACAUAGCCUUGAGGCGCUCAACGGACCCUUUUACCUUUUAAAAACCUUUUUGGGCUUUGGAUUGAUCCAAAAACGACUUUUUUGUGCAACCUAGUGUAUAUUCAUAGAAGUUAUUAGAUGGAGCUUUUUAAUUUUUUACCUAGAAGAUUGUAAUUACUCUAUUCCAAAUCACGCUAGUAGCCAUUAGACAUUACUAAGAGACAUCCCCGGUAUAUAUAUAUUUAGUGAUUCAAGGGUUUCUUUUAUUAGUUUUAAUACUAAUAACUAAUAAGAAUUUUGUUUAAUUGAAUUUUUUCAUUUUAAUAUUUUUUAAUUUUAAUUUUAAUAUAUUUUAAUUUUAAUAUAAAUAAAUAAUUUUAAUAUAUUAAUAUAAAUAAAUAAAUAAUAAAUAAAUAGAAUAAAAAGAAGUCUAUUUUGUCCUCUAUCUGUCUUUUUUAUUCCUAAAAAAUAGCAGAUGAAUAUAGAAGUGAAAUAGAAGGCUUAGAAGGGAGAUAAUGAAAUUAUGUGAUUGGGUCUUCCAAAAGCAAAGGAAUGAUCCGUUUUUUAGUUAACUGAUCUGAUGGGUCCAACAAACAAUUAAUUAUAACAAAUAUCUAAAUUCUAAAUAAAGGAUAAUAAAUAAAGGGGGUCUUCUUUUAUUCGAAACGUCUCGUGAUCUUCAACCAAUUAUGUGCUUCAAUAUAAUUACCGGGAGUAAGCGCUAUAGCCUAUUUCCAAUACUCAGCGGCUCGAUCGAACCAAGCCUCUGCAAUUUCAGAAUCUCCCUGUUGAAUGGCCUAUUUUCCCCGGCCGAAAUAGGUAGUUCAAUUCCUACCCUUAGAACCGUACUUGAGAAUUUCUUACCUUAUACGGCUCAGCAGUCAAUUCUUUUGGUGUCCCAUUUUUAUCUAUACCAUAUCUAUCUAAUUAGAUUUCUCAUGGAUCUAUGCUAGCUUUAGGGUUAACCAAAAGAAAAAUAGGUUAAUUACAUGAGUUUCAAACUGAAAUUUGGAUGAAUAAUUCGUUUAUUUAGUUUUAUCUUUUUUCCCACCUUCAGAAGAAUAAAGCAUAAUGAAUUACUAUUUUUAUUAACAGCAUUUAACCAACCCGGCAACCAAAUGCUUCGACCCGCAUUAAAUGCUGGGCCACUCAUUGAAAAUAAAACUACAUCAAACCCAUAUGAAGUUUGACCAUGAACGGAUUGUAUCCAUUGAGCAAAUAUAGGUUCAAUCAAGAUUUUCUUCUCUGGAGUGCCAAAGGCAAGCAUGACAUCAUUAUGAACAUAAAGUCCUAGGGUAUGGAACCCCAGAAAGAGACUGGCCCAAAUUAAAUGAGAUAUGAUAGCUUCUUUAUGAUCUAACAUUCUUGCCAAUACAUUAUCUUCAUUUUGAUCCUGAUUGUAAUCUCUAAUGAAAAAUAUAGCUCCAUGAGCAAAAGCUCCUGUCAUGAUGAAUCCUGCGAUAUAUUGGUGGUGGGUAUAUGAUGGAGCUUGAGUAGUGACGUCCUCUGCUAUGAAUGCAUAAGCAGGUAAAGAGUACAUAUGUUGAGCUACCAAAGAAGUAAUAACCCCUAAAGAAGAUAGAGCAAGGCCUAAUUGAAAAUGAAGUGAAUUGUUGAUUGUGUCAUAAAGACCCUUAUGUCUACGCCCCAAUCGCCCCUCAAUGGAAUAUGUGCAUCUAGAUCUUUUAUAUUGUGCCCAAUCCCGAAAUUGGUUCUAUACAUAUGACCAGCAACGAGAAAAAUAAAUACAAUAGCUAAAUGGUGAUGGGCAAUAUCAGUCAACCAUAAACUUUGCAUUUGUGGAUGGAAUCCCUCGAGAAGAGUUAGAAUGGCAGUUCCUGCCCCUUGGGCGGUACCAAAUAAAUGAGUACUUGAAUCGGGGUUUUGAGCAUAAAGAUUCCAUUGACCUGUAAAAAGUAGGCCUAACCCUUCGGGAUGUGGUAAUACAUCUAAGAAAUUAUUCCACCGAAAAUACUACCCUUUGGAUGCAGGAAUAGCAACAUGGACUAAAUGUCCUAUCCAAGCCAAGGAACUUAUGCCAAAAAGUCCUGACAAAUGAUGAUUCAGACGAGAUUCGGCAUUUUUGAACCAGGAAACGCUUGGUUUCCAUUUUAGUUGUAGGUGUAACCAACCUGCUAUUAAGGAUAUGGCAGAAAGAAAUAAUAGAAAAAGAGUGCCAGUAUAAAGAUCUUGAUUAGUGCGUAAACCAAUUGUAUACCACCACUGAUAAACACCAAAAUAAGCGAUAUUCACUCGGCCAAGAGCACCCCCUCGAGUAAAAGCUUUCACGGCCGAUUGACCAAAAUAAAGAUCCUAAAUUACAUGAGCAACAGGUCUUACAUGUAAAGGGUCUUGUACCCACGACUCAAAAUUUACUUGCUAAGCUACAUGAAACAGAUUUCCGAAAGUCCACAGAAAAAUUAUAUCUAAUUGACCGAAAUGAGAAGCAAAAAUAUUCUGAUAAAGACAUUCCUCAGUAAUAUCAUCAUGACUCUCGAAGUUAUGUGCGGUGCAAUACCAAACUAAAUACGACGAGUAGUGGGGUGCUGAGCUAAACCUUGGCUAAACCUUGAAAAUCGUAAUGCCAUAAUGCUUUUCAAAUACUCCUAGCCAUUAUACUACUGCAAUAAUUCUUGCUAAGAAGAAUGCCCAUGUUGUGGCAAUUUCACCCAGAAGGUAAUGGGUUACUCCUACAGCACGUCUUUGUAUAAUGCUCAAGGCUCUUGGCUGAGUAGCAAGAGCAAAUUUUAAUUAUUAUGAGCCCAAACGAUGGAUUCAGUAAGUUCUUGCCAAUAACCACAUCCGCUGAAUAGAAAUAUUAAACUAAAAGCCCAGACAAAAUGAGCGCCUAGGAAAAAAAGGCCAUAUGCGGACAAUGAAGAACCAUAAGACUAAAUUAGCUGGGAUACCUGUGCCCAUAAGAAAUCGCCGAGCCACCCAUUAAUAGCAAUAGAACUCUGCGCAAAGUUUCCUCCCAUGAUAUAAGUUACUACCCAUUGAUCACUUACACCACCCUAAAUAUCUAAUUGCAUUUUCCAACUGAAAUGGAAUAUUACUACAAAAAUUGAAUUGUACAACCAGAAUAGUCCUAAGAAGACAUGAUCCCAGGCCGAUACUUGACAUGUACCCCCUCUUCCAGGUCCAUCACAAGGAAAACAAAAACCAAGAUUUGCCUUAUCCAAUAUUAAAGGAGAACUGUGAGCAAAUAGAACACCUUUUAAGAGUAUCAAUACUGUCACAUGAAUCAUAAAUGCAUGAAUGUGAUGUACCAAGAAAUUAGUGGUUCCUAAUGAAAUAGGCAACAAAGCCACCUUGCCACCCACUGCCACUAAAUCACCACCCCCCACGUUAAACUGGUGCUUGCUGUUGCACCAGGGGCCAUUGCACUAGGUGCUAAAGCAUGGGUGUUUUGUAUCCAUUGAGCAAAAACGGGUUGUAAUUGUAUAGCGGUAUCUGAAAAAAUAUCUUCAGGAAUCCCUAAGGCGCUCAUGGUAUCAUUAUGAAUAUACAAACCAAAAUUGUGAAAACCUAGAAAUAUACAUGCCCAGUUGAGAAGGGAUAUGAUUGUAUCACGAUGCCUAAGGACACGAUCUAAUAGAUCAUUGUACCGAGUAGUUGGAUCAUAAUCUCUUACCAUAAAAAUGGCUGCAUGAGCGGCAGAACCAACUAUGAGAAAUCCACCAAUCCACAUGUGAUGUGUGAACAAUGACAGUUGUGUAAUAUAGUCAGUAGCUAGAUAGGGAUAAGGGGGCAUAGAAUACAUAUGAUGAUCUACAACAAUCGUUAAAGAGCCUAACAUAGCUAAGUUAAGAGAUAAUUAAGCAUGCCAUAACAUUGUUAGGUUCUCAUAUUGGCCUUUAUGGCCCUAACCUAUAAAUGGACCUUUAUGGGCUUUUAAAAUAUUUUUCAGUCCAUGACCAAUACCCUAGUUGGUCUUAUACAUGUGACCCACUAUCAGGAAAAGAAUUGCAGAGCUAAAUGGUGAUGGGCAAUAUCAGUUGUCCACAAACCCCCAGUUAUUGGAUCUAAUCCUCUACGAAAAGUAAGAAAGUCAGCAUAUUUUGACCAAUCCAAGGUGUAAAAUGGGGUUGCUCCCUCGGCAAAACUGGGAUAAACUUGAGCCAAAAGAUCUCGAUUCAAGAUAAAUUCAUGAGGAAGUGAUAUCUCUUUAGGAUCUACUCCAGCAUUUAGAAAUUGGUUAAUCGGUAAAGAUACGUGUACUCGAUGCCCCGCCCAACAGAGAGACCCAAGUCCUAGCAGCCCUGCCAAAUGGUGAUUCAGCAUAGAUUCUAUAUCUUGAAACCAAGCCAUUUUUGGCUCCACUUUAUGAUAAAGAAACCAACCAGCAAAAAGCAUUAAUGCUGCAAAGACCAAUGCCCCAAUUGCUGUACAAUAGAGUUGUAAUUCACUAGUUAUUCUAGAUGCUCGCCAAAUCUGAAAAAAAACUAGAGGUUAUUUGUAUUCCUCGGAAACCCCCGCCUACGUCACCAUUUAAUAUUUCUUGGCCCACUAUUGGCCAAACCACCUGGGCACUAGGCCCAAUGUGAGUUGGAUCACUUAGCCACGCUUCAUAAUUAGAAAAACGAGCACCGUGGAAAUACAUGCCGCUCAGCCAAAGAAAGAUGAUGGAGAGUUGACCGAAAUGUGCACUAAAUACUUUUCGAGAGAUCUCCUCCAAAUCACUGGUAUGGCUAUCGAAAUCGUGAGCAUCAGCAUGUAGGUUCCAGAUCCAAGUGGUAGUAUCAGGCCCUUUAGCUAUUGUUCUUGAGAAAUGACCCGGUCUGGCCCAUUCCUCGAAAGAAGUUUUUACGGGAUCCCUAUCUACCAAAAUUUUAACUUCUGGUUCCGGCGAACGAAUAAUCAUUGAGUCCUCCUCUUUCCGGACAACACAUACAAAGAGACCCGCCAACAGUCAAAUAAUUAGUGAACCUUAGAGAUAGAGAGAUAUUUCUAUAAUUAGUUCGUUUCUCUUCUAUUUUUCUAUCUCCCAUCUAUCUAUUUUCUUUAGUUAUUUACUAGAGCAAUUAUGAUCUAGAAGUCGAUCCGGGGCAAGUGUUCAGAUCUAUUAUGACAUAGCCUUGAGGCGCUCAACGGACCCUUUAACCUUUUAAAAACCUUUUUGGGCUUUGGAUUGAUCCAAAAACGACUUUUUUGUGCAACCUAGUGUAUAUUCAUAGAAGUUAUUAGAUGGAGCUCUUUAAUUUUUUACCUAGAAGAUUGUAAUUACUCUAUUCCAAAUCACGCUAGUAGCCAUUAGACAUUACUAAGAGACAUCCCCGGUAUAUAUAUAUUUAGUGAUUCAAGGGUUUCUUUUAUUAG
rnacentral:lncRNA from 1 species